rnacentral:rRNA from 1 species
CUAGAUAGAAAAUAGGUGCCCGUACCGCAAACCGACACAGGUAGUCAAGAUGAGAAUUCUAAGGUGAGCGAGCGAACUCUCGUUAAGGAACUCGGCAAAAUGACCCCGUAACUUCGGGAGAAGGGGUGCUCUUUAGGGUUAACGCCCAGAAGAGCCGCAGUGAAUAGGCCCAAGCGACUGUUUAUCAAAAACACAGGUCUCUGCUAAACCGUAAGGUGAUGUAUAGGGGCUGACGCCUGCCCGGUGCUGGAAGGUUAAGAGGAGUGGUUAGCUUCUGCGAAGCUACGAAUCGAAGCCCCAGUAAACGGCGGCCGUAACUAUAACGGUCCUAAGGUAGCGAAAUUCCUUGUCGGGUAAGUUCCGACCCGCACGAAAGGCGUAACGAUUUGGGCACUGUCUCAACGAGAGACUCGGUGAAAUCAUAGUACCUGUGAAGAUGCAGGUUACCCGCGACAGGACGGAAAGACCCCGUGGAGCUUUACUGUAGCCUGAUAUUGAAAUUCGGCACAGCUUGUACAGGAUAGGUAGGAGCCUUUGAAACGUGAGCGCUAGCUUACGUGGAGGCGCUGGUGGGAUACUACCCUAGCUGUGUUGGCUUUCUAACCCGCACCACUUAUCGUGGUGGGAGACAGUGUCAGGCGGGCAGUUUGACUGGGGCGGUCGCCUCCUAAAAGGUAACGGAGGCGCUCAAAGGUUCCCUCAGAAUGGUUGGAAAUCAUUCAUAGAGUGUAAAGGCAUAAGGGAGCUUGACUGCGAGACCUACAAGUCGAGCAGGGUCGAAAGACGGACUUAGUGAU